CAAGGAUGCUACAGAUUAUUGAAGAAGAAAUCCUUUCUAGUUAUUAAUACUACUACAGAAGAGAACAGGAUGUACGAGGAUGACAGACCAAGCACAGUUUUAAUAGCAAUAACAAUUUGUUAUCUAGCUUGUCUGCUACUAGUACUUGCAGUAUUGUAUAUAAGACGAAGUGAAAAAAAAAUCAAAUGCACAAAGAACUAUAAAUGAGGAAAUCCAAGAUGAUGAAAAGUGGGUUUAUGAGCUACAGAAUAUAUGACGUUUACCGUAGACCUUUUCCUUUGAAUUUUUAUAAAUAUUUUAUUGUUUCAAACUUUGUUUUUCUUUUUUAAGAUAUGCGUUUCAUAAGCGUUUCAAAAAUAGUACAUCUUUUAUGAUGUGAAAUCGUUGAAUAGAUACAUAUAGAUCUGACCAGCUGCUUUUGUACUGAAAAUACAUGAAUUUGAUUAAGAUUGCUCAUCAUCUCUAUAGACAUGUAUUACUUUUAAUAAACAUAUUUUGGACAUUCCUAAGAAGUUGAUAAAUAAAAACAUUCAAUUCGAUGCUUUCAAACAAAUAUUUCAAACAUAUUAAUUUACAUUUAAUUACGCUAAUGAUAAUGUUUUUAUAUUUACAGGGGGGGGGUGUAAUUUAAAAUCUAUUUGUCUAUAUUUUUAAAAUCUUAAUCUUCAAUUUUAUUUAAACAACGAAAUUAAAAUAUAAGGAAUAUGAAAGUCGUCACUACCAUUAAUCAAAGUUUUGCCUUAGAUGAUCACAGUAUUUUCCCCAUGAGUUUCAGAGAGUUGUCUUUCAUUUUAUAUCAAGAUGUCUACAAACCAUUUUUUUUUUAUUUUAAGAAUGAAAUGCUUUUUGUAUAUUUACAUUUUAUUUCAAAAUCUUACAUAAUUGGUAUGAUUUUAUGAACUUAAAAGGCUCUAAAAAAGUUCUAGAGUAAAAUUUUAUCGGAAACGUU